GAUGGAGUUUUGAUUACCCAGCUCCAGCCACGCGUGAGUGACGGCGCCUUGUGUUUCAUAUGACUGUAGCAGAUGAAUUGCUUUGCUUGUAGCAGAGAUGUUAUUUACUAUAAAGAACAUAAAUUUGCAUAAUGUUGAAGCUAAAGAACUGUACUCUAUCAUGUGAUGUUAAAAUCUUGAAUGUAAAUGUUUGUUGUAGCAUGAAUCUCGCUGAACGGUGUCGUAGGUAGGUGAGAGGGGAGACGCCUAAGUGUUUGUUGUAGCAUGAAUCUCGCUGAACGGUAUCGUAGGUAGGUGAGAGGGGAGACGCCUAAGUGUUUGUUGUAGCAUGAAUCUCGCUGAACGGUAUCGUAGGUAGGUGAGAGGGGAGACGCCUAAGUGUUUGUUGUAGCAUGAAUCUCGCUGAACGGUAUCGUAGGUAGGUGAGAGGGGAGACGCCUAAGUGUUUGUUGUAGCAUGAAUCUCGCUGAACGGUAUCGUAGGUAGGUGAGAGGGGAGACGCCUAAGUGUUUGUUGUAGCAUGAAUCUCGCUGAACGGUAUCGUAGGUAGGUGAGAGGGGAGACGCCUAAGUGCGUGACGGAAACAAAACAAGCUCGUCAUGGAAACAUCUUCGUCGCAUGCUUUUGUAUUAUUAUCAUAACAAUAAUAAUAAUAAUAAUAAUAAUAAUAAUA